rnacentral:rRNA from 1 species
GACGAACGCUGGCGGCGUGCUUAACACAUGCAAGUCGAACGGAAAGGCCCUGCUUGUGUGGGGUGCUCGAGUGGCGAACGGGUGAGUAACACGUGAGUAACCUGCCCUUGACUUUGGGAUAACUUCAGGAAACUGGGGCUAAUACCGGAUAGGAGCUCCUGCUGCAUGGGGGGGGUUGGAAAGUUUCGGCGGUUGGGGAUGGACUCGCGGCUUAUCAGCUUGUUGGUGGGGUAGUGGCUUACCAAGGCUUUGACGGGUAGCCGGCCUGAGAGGGUGACCGGCCACAUUGGGACUGAGAUACGGCACAGACUCCUACGGGAGGCAGCAGUGGGGAAUAUUGCACAAUGGGCGGAAGCCUGAUGCAGCAACGCCGCGUGCGGGAUGACGGCCUUCGGGUUGUAAACCGCUUUCGCCUGUGACGAAGCGUGGGUGACGGUAAUGGGUAAAGAAGCACCGGCUAACUACGUG